GCUCCCGUAGCUCAGGUGGAUAGAGCAUCUGCCUUCUAAGCAGAGGGUCGCAGGUUCGAGUCCUGCCGGGAGUG
rnacentral:tRNA from 1 species